rnacentral:rRNA from 1 species
GAGUUUGAUUAUGGCUCAGAGUGAACGCUGGCGGCGUGCCUAAUACAUGCAAGUCGAACGGAGAUUAAAGUAAGCUUGCUUAUUUUAAUCUUAGUGGCGCACGGGUGAGUAAUGUAUAGCUAAUCUGCCCUACACUAGAGGACAACAGUUGGAAACGACUGCUAAUACUCUAUACUCCUUCUUUACAUAAGUUAAGUCAGGAAAGUUUUUCGGUGUAGGAUGAGGCUAUAUCGUAUCAGCUAGUUGGUGAGGUAAUGGCUCACCAAGGCUAUGACGCGUAACUGGUCUGAGAGGAUGAUCAGUCACACUGGAACUGAGACACGGUCCAGACUCCUACGGGAGGCAGCAGUAGGGAAUAUUGCUCAAUGGGGGAAACCCUGAAGCAGCAACGCCGCGUGAAGGAUGACACUUUUCGGAGCGUAAACUCCUUUUCUUGGGAAAGAAUUAUGACCGUCCCCAGG